GGAGCUAAUACCGGAUAAGAUUUUGAACCGCAUGGUUCAAUAGUGAAAGACGGCCUUGCUGUCACUUAUAGAUGGAUCCGCGCCGUAUUAGCUAGUUGGUAAGGUAACGGCUUACCAAGGCAACGAUACGUAGCCGACCUGAGAGGGUGAUCGGCCACACUGGAACUGAGACACGGUCCAGACUCCUACGGGAGGCAGCAGUAGGGAAUCUUCCGCAAUGGGCGAAAGCCUGACGGAGCAACGCCGCGUGAGUGAUGAAGGUCUUCGGAUCGUAAAACUCUGUUAUCAGGGAAGAACAAACGUGUAAGUAACUGUGCACGUCUUGACGGUACCUGAUCAGAAAGCCACGGCUAACUACGUGCCAGCAGCCGCGGUAAUACGUAGGUGGCAAGCGUUAUCCGGAAUUAUUGGGCGUAAAGCGCGCGUAGGCGGUUUUUUAAGUCUGAUGUGAAAGCCCACGGCUCAACCGUGGAGGGUCAUUGGAAACUGGAAAACUUGAGUGCAGAAGAGGAAAGUGGAAUUCCAUGUGUAGCGGUGAAAUGCGCGGAGAUAUGGAGGAACACCAGUGGCGAAGGCGACUUUCUGGUCUGUAACUGACG
rnacentral:rRNA from 1 species